GAUGAAGAACGUAGCGAAAUGCGAUAAGUAAUGUGAAUUGCAGAAUUCAGUGAAUCAUCGAAUCUUUGAACGCACAUUGCGCCCGCCAGUAUUCUGGCGGGCAUGCCUGUUCGAGCGUCAUUUCAACCAUCAAGCCCCAGGCUUGUGUUGGAGCCCUGCGGCUGCCGCAGCCUCCCAAAACCAGUGGCGGGCUCGCUAUCACACCGAGUGCAGUAGUUUACUCUUCGCUCAGGGCGUGUGGCGGGUGCUAGCCGUGAAACCCCCAACUUCUCAAGGUUGACCUCGGAUCAGGUAGGAAUACCCGCUGAACUUAAGCAUAUCAAUAAGCGGAGGA
rnacentral:misc_RNA from 1 species